CCUACGGGUGGCUGCAGUGGGGAAUAUUGCACAAUGGGCGCAAGCCUGAUGCAGCCAUGCCGCGUGUGUGAAGAAGGCCUUCGGGUUGUAAAGCACUUUCAGCGGGGAGGAAGGCGUUAAGGUUAAUAACCUUGGCGAUUGACGUUACCCGCCGAAGAAGCACCGGCUAACUCCGUGCCAGCAGCCGCGGUAAUACGGAGGGUGCAAGCGUUAAUCGGAAUUACUGGGCGUAAAGCGCACGCAGGCGGUCUGUCAAGUCGGAUGUGAAAUCCCCGGGCUCAACCUGGGAACUGCAUUCGAAACUGGGAGGCUAGAGUCUUGUAGAGGGGGGUAGAAUUCCAGGUGUAGCGGUGAAAUGCGUAGAGAUCUGGAGGAAUACCGGUGGCGAAGGCGGCCCCCUGGACAAAGACUGACGCUCAGGUGCGAAAGCGUGGGGAGCAAACAGGAUUAGAUACCCGAGUAGUC
rnacentral:rRNA from 1 species